CCUUAGACUGCCGUAUGAACGUUUUCCGGAAUACACCGACAAUAUUGUCAGAGGGAUGUUUGGCAGAGGCUUCAGGAAUUGCUGAUCAUCUGCAAUUUGUGGGGAUGGAUUUGGAGGGAAAGAACACAUCAAACCUACCAAUGACAAUAUCACAAGGAGGGACAGGGCUGCUGAGGAAUUGGUUGCUCCUCCUAUCCCAGGGGGAUGAUGUCGUGUAGCAUCAAGUGUAACAUAUCAAAAUAACAAGGAAUAUAUGGUUUCCUAACUGAUCGUGA